GACGAACGCUGGCGGCGUGCUUAACACAUGCAAGUCGAACGGAAAGGCCCUGCUUUUGUGGGUUGCUCGAGUGGCGAACGGGUGAGUAACACGUGAGUAACCUGCCCUUGACUUUGGGAUAACUUCAGGAAACUGGGGCUAAUAUCGGAUAGGAGCUCCUGCUGCAUGGGGUGGGUUGGAAAGUUUCGGCGGUUGGGGAUGGACUCGCGGCUUAUCAGCUUGUUGGUGUGGUAGUGGCUUACCAAGGCUUUGACGGGUAGCCGGCCUGAGAGGGUGACCGGCCACAUUGGGACUGAGAUACGGCCCAGACUCCUACGGGAGGCAGCAGUGGGGAAUAUUGCACAAUGGGCGGAAGCCUGAUGCAGCAACGCCGCGUGCGGGAUGACGGCCUUCGGGUUGUAAACCGCUUUCGCCUGUGACGAAGCGUGAGUGACGGUAAUGGGUAAAGAAGCAACGGCUAACUACGUG
rnacentral:rRNA from 1 species